rnacentral:ncRNA from 1 species
ACACUCUGGAAAGCGGAGCGGCAGCUCCCGCCGAUGGUGUAAGGCGUGGCCUCUCCCGAGGCCGUGUCGAAACUCUCAGGCCGAUGACAGAGGGGGCUCG